CACUUCGCAAUGUGAGAAAUCACGACGAGGGAAUCCCCAGUGCUUGUACUAUGUACAAGCUGUUUCUCUGUCUAAAAAGCAGGGAGAGUAAGGGCUGGGUAAGACGGGUGCCAGCCGCCGCGGUAAUACCCGCAGCCCGAGUGGUGCUCGUUAUUAUUGGGCCUAAAACGUCCGUUGCCGGCCUCUUAAAUCCAUGUGGAAAUCGGAGGGCUCAACCCUCCGAAGGGCGUGGACACUGAGAGGCUUGGGACUGGGUGAGGUCGGAGGUACUUCCGGGGUAGGGGUGAAAUCCUGUAAUCCUGGAAGGACCACCAGUGGCGAAGGCGUCCGACUAGAACGGAUCCGACGGUCAGGGACGAAGCCCUGGGGCGCAAACGGGAUUAGAUACCCCGGUAGUCCAGGGUGUAAACGCUGUGGUCUUGGUGUUGGGGGUCCUACGAGGGCGCCCAGUGCCGGAGAGAAGUUGUUAAGACUACUGCCUGGGGAGUACGGUCGCAAGACUGAAACUUAA
rnacentral:rRNA from 1 species